AUAUUCAUCCUCAUAUCUGGAUAC
rnacentral:siRNA from 1 species